rnacentral:rRNA from 1 species
CCACAUGAUUUAUUUUAUUAAAAGACGUUUAAAAGACCGUUUAAGGUAAACCAUCACUCAUUAAUACCCACUCGUCCAGUCCAGUAGAACUUCGGCAGAGUUACGACGAGGAGAAACACCAACUUCGACAGACGUGACUUCGAGUUAACAAAAGGCCGGGGUACAUACGUAAUAAACCUUCGUGUAAGUUAGCGGCGUUGCUAGUGUUUGGGGUACGGAAGGAAUUACCACCAUCCAAGACUUCUGUAGUUUUCUCCGUUCUAGUUCAGUUACUACAGGAAGAACACCGACUUUAAUGAAACUAGGACGACAGAGAGACCACACCACAGGCGCGUCAAGGUCAGCUCGGUUUGUCUUGGUAAUAUAAAUCGGUUUGUCUUGGUAAUGUUUAUAACAGUCUUUCAUAAACCUCAGUCGAAGAUAACGAUGAGGUCAUAUAUAGGAAGAAAGAGACACCGGUAUCACUUCUAUGUCG